CCUACGGGAGGCAGCAGUGAGGAAUAUUGGUCAAUGGACGAGAGUCUGAACCAGCCAAGUAGCGUGAAGGAUGACGGCCCUAUGGGUUGUAAACUUCUUUUAUACAGGAAUAAAACGAGGCACGUGUGCCUUUUUGCAUGUACCUUAUGAAUAAGGACCGGCUAAUUCCGUGCCAGCAGCCGCGGUAAUACGGAGGGUCCGAGCGUUAUCCGGAUUUAUUGGGUUUAAAGGGAGCGUAGAUGGGUUGUUAAGCGUGUCGUGAAAGUCUGUGGCUCAACCGUAAAAGUGCAGUUGAUACUGGCAGUCUUGAGUGCAGGUGAGGUAUGCGGAAUUCGUGGUGUAGCGGUGAAAUGCUUAGAUAUCACGAAGAACCCCGAUUGCGAAGGCAGCUUACUGAACUGUGACUGACGCUGAGGCUCGAAAGUGUGGGUAUCAAACAGGAUUAGAUACCCUGGUAGUC
rnacentral:rRNA from 1 species